ensembl:snoRNA
AUUCUUCCAUUCAUGAAUGGGAUGAUUGGGUUUUAUGCCAUGUGCCUGCAAUGUGUCUCCUUCAAAUCUUGUUAUGCCAUUGGCAUAUUCCUUGUCUGACA